CCCUUAGAUGUUCUGGGCCGCACGAGUGCUACACUGAGUGGAUCAGCGGGUCAGGUUGCGCGAAAGCGUUUCCUAAUCUUUAAAUCCGCUCGUGAUGGGGAUUGACGGUUGCAAUUUUCUGUCAUGAACGAGGAAUACCUUGUAAGCGCGGGUCAUCAUCCCGCGCUGAAUACGUCCCUGCCCUUUGUACACACCGCCCGUCGCUCCUACCGAUUGAGUGGUCCGGUGAGGCUUUGGGAUCUGAGCGGAAAGAGCGUUUCGCUGUUUCUGCUCGGAAAACUCAGUCGAACCUUAUCAUUUAGAGGAAGGAGAAGUCGUAACA
rnacentral:rRNA from 1 species